UAGAUAGAAAUAUAUAGAUAUAAAUAAGUUACUGCACAAUAGUUGAACAUAGGGAUUUGCAUAUAAUGAGAGGGUGUUAAAAUGUCACAGGACAUAAACAUGUCAAAUAAUAUAGAAUAUACAGUGCGGCAGAAUUUAAACAUACUGAGUAAUAUAUGAAUAGACACAUACUGAGGUAUAGAGAGAAUGUAAACUAUAAAAAUGCUGGAUUGGAUUUUUGCGAUCCUUCAGUUUGUUUGUUUGUGUGUGUCUGUGUUCGCAAGCCAGCGGGCAUUUAGCUCCCAUAUGAUGCUGGGGUAGAAGCUUUUCUUAAGUGAUGGAUCUGAAUCAUUUGCCAGAGGGCAGCAGUUUAAAUAAGUGUUCAAGCUAAUGGUUUGGUUUUGAUGCUUUUACAUUGACAUAACAUAAUUUAUUUGUAUUGAAUUAAUAAGAUUGUGAUUUUUGCUUGUAAAAUUGCUAAAACAGAAGCACUGUGAAAGUGUCUGAACUACAUUACCCAUCAGCCCUCUGCAUGUCUCCAUGUCACAUGUUUCACUAAUCAGUUUGAUCUGCACCACUAAUUAAGCUCUACUUUCUUUAUACCUCUUUCUCCUGCUACUGAUGAUGUCGCAUUUUGUUUGUUGUCUUGCCUUCUAUUGACUUGCUCAUAGUUUGUAUAUUCUGCUAUUUUAGAUUUUGGUUAUUUUUACACUGUGCACAAUAAAAGUUUGCACUCACAUCUGAUGCAUCUUAGAACCUGUGACAGUACAUAUAAAUUGGUAAGAUGGAGAACUCACACCCUGUUAGGUCCAUACAACUUAAUAAUACAAUUUAUGUGAAACACAUUACACUGUCCUGAAAGAGCUUACAUGAUAGUGGUAUAUGUGUGUGUGUGUGUGUGUGUGUGUGUGUGGAUAGUAGGGAGUAGUGAAGGGCACUGUGAUAGGGUCCACCCCACAUGAUACCGAUGCCAAAAACAGCCGUUGUAUGUGUCAUCUGUCUCUCACACACACACACACACACACACACACACACACACACUGUAGCCGUGGUCAGUAGUGACACACAGUCUGUGUGCCAAAUGUGAGUUAUUAUCUAAUCUGAAGCUUUGCCCAGGGUUACAUUUGUCAAUCUGCUCCAGACAAUCCUGAGAGACCAUGGCUUUCUGGGGAGGUUUACAAAAAAAGAGAAAGAAAAGAAAAAGAAAAACAGAUUAUGACAAAAAAGUCUUCCUCCAAAACAGCCACAGGCCACCAGGUACAUGUCCUCAGCUGUCUGGUUGGAGCACAUCACAGAAAUGAUUAAGGGAUUUCUAAGUGUGUGUUUAACAAGAGCAAAGGGAGCCAAAUGCAGCGUCUGGAGCCUUGAUUCAAGCCUUUACCUCUCCUGUGUGGAAGCCAGGGCCCCUAACCCCGGAGUGUAUCUGUGAUUAUCCACAGCCGAGUGCUCGAGCAGUCGAUAAAGCCUUGGAUAAAUAGAUGAGCCCAAGCCCGUGAUGCUUCUGACCUCAAACAUGCAGCAAUUCAACAAAAAGGAGUUUGUUUCUAGACGGGAGCGCUGGACAUGGCCGAUGGGACGCGGCAGAUCAAAAUUUGCCCAUGGAAGUGUGAAUGUGUGUCGAUGUGCAUGAGAUUGAGGGUGCAAGAGAUAAAGACAAAAAAUGUGUGUGUGUGUGUGUGUGUGUGUGUAAGAAACUUGGGGGCAUAUUGAUGAUUGCCAAAGGGUUUGAGAAAGUCAGAAUUUAUAGUAUGUCUAGAGAGAUCUUGCCGUGUUAAGAGCAUGUGGUUUUCAUGCUGACAUGCAGUAACUCAGAACUAUUAUAGAGCAGUAUCCUUGUAUACAUUAUUACUAUGAUUAUUAUGAUUAUUAUUAUUAGUAGUAGUAGUAGUAGUAGUAGAAGUAGUAGCAGCAGCAGUAUUGGCUUUAAUUGUAUUUAAUAAUAUACAUGUUAUCUGAACUAUUUAAACUUAUUAACUAUUUAGCUUAUUAAUCAACUUAAGUACUUUAUUAGUAAUUAAGAGAGAUUCAAAUGAAUCAUGACAAUCUGCUGCCUUAAAAAGCUGGGGUUAAAAAAAAACAGAUUGGAGAUUUAUUGUUUUUAUUUAAAAAAAAAUAUUAUUAUAUUAGAAAGACUGCCUUUGUAUUUCUGAAAGUAAACAAUUAACUUGUUUGAUUAAUGACAAAAAGUAAAUUUGUUGAUGCGAUGUCCUUAAGUCACAUGAUAGAAUUUUUUUUUUUACUGUAAAUAUCUUUUCAUUCAUCGAAGUUUGCCAUUAUAUAUGCCAUAGUACAGUCCAUGAUGAAGUAAAGAAUUCUGGUAUUUGUUAGCAUUUGGGAUGAUGAUGAUGAUGAUGAUGAGUUGAAUGAUCUCACUGUGAUGACUUUAGCAUUAGAAGAAUUAUGCACCUGCUGUAAACGACUUGAAUGCAGUGGAAUUGUUCGGAAGUCAUGUAUAAAUGUUGGAGAGAAUUUUCCUACCUUGUGGAUGUGAUGUAGAUGGUAGAUCUCUGUUUGCAGACAUUACUUACAGUAUUUUUUAAAACUGAAGCUGUUUUCAAGAAUGACUCUUGUUCCUGAUGUACUUUUUGCCCUUUGAUGGCCGCAAGGCAAAAUAGGUCGUUUGUGCUUUGUUUCCAAUAAUAAGCACCCCCGUCUUAUCUUUGUUUAGCUGCAAAAAAAAAGUUAAUAAGCUUAGUAUUUUAGGCAGCAUCACAAAUUAUUGGGCUGCCGGGCGAAAGAUUGCACAAAUACCACUUAAAAAAUGCAAGGCACAAAAUACACAUACAUCAAAGCCAUUUUAAUACAUAUCUUGCAAUUAUUAUAUGUUCUCAAGAGUUUCUUAUCUCUGUGAUUAAGUUUAAAAAGUUGGAUUUCAGUAUAGCUUGUUUUAUAGUAAUAAUUUUUUCCCUAAUAAGAGACCUGUCCCAAGUAAGGCUGCAUGUACUGGGUAGAAAUAAUAAUUAACUGCCAAUUAAGCACCACUGCCCCUGAGUAAACUAAAAAAGGUCACUUUUGUCACGAUGUGUGGAAGGGAGAACACUUUCUUUUUUUUGCUCUUAUUUUUGCAUUUGUUUGGUCGUAGUAAUUAACAUUCAGUUGAAGUGAAAUAUCAUUUUCAACUCCUUUUUUCAAGCACGAGACCAAACCAAACCCAGCAAGGGCACACCAUAUCCUGUCAGAACGGUAAUUGCUGUGUUUUCUACGUCGAUUUCUAACUGGACAGCAUGUCCGGAUUCUCAAAAGGAAUCUAGAUUAAACACAUUAGUCAGAAUGGGCUCGAAACACAUGAACACAUGCUCACACCCCGGCCAAGUAGAAUGCAUUUGUGACAUAAUGAUGUGUGACAGCGUGUGUGAUGUUUUCUCUUCCUCUCAUUAGCAUGCACUCGAAGCAGCCAGACAUUACCUGUUGAUGGCAGGGCAGAGGCGCAUGCUGAUGGACAGAUUGAUGGGCUAGCUGAUGAAUUCCUGGCAGGUGCUUUGUCAGAGGAGAAGCAAUUUAAACCUCUGGGGGAGAGGAGCCAUUUGGAGUUCACACCAGCGCUCUAAUGUGGAAAACAGUCAAAUCUCAGCUCUCCCACUCAUAAUUAAACCAGCGCACCGCUGCCGAGCUUAACGAGGGCUGGAAUGGGAACAUGUGUCAGCCACUGAGAGUCUUCUUACCCAUCGCCACGCAUCAGCCUGGCUCUGAUAUAGAAAAAUGUCCACCUGGGGGUCAAUCUCCCUUUCACACGCAAUGACUGAUAGAUCCAAUACCCUUGGAAUCAGAUAAAACUUUGACGAAUGGCUCAGCAGCAUGCUGUUGGGAAUCACUUCGCCCUGCGUCCGUGUCGGCCUGUCCCUCUCCCAUCAUGGCACCCACUGGCUUUGAUCAAUGGUUCCCAGCACCAUGGCGUAGCGGGCCGCACGGCGUCACGAUUAAAAGAGCUGGAGGAUAUUGCUUUCUCACCAUUCGCUCUCAGGGAGAGAGAAAACUUCAUAAAACUAGGGUGACAGCGCUUUCUCCUCUCGGCCCUCACACUCUCCCCUGUCUGCUGGCUGAUCCGGAUUGAUCUGAGAGCUUUGGCUGAUUGGAGAACAGAGCAUCAUGGAUGAGAAUGAGAAACAUGAAUUCCUUACAACGCCUCGUCUGCCGUAGAUGUGUUUUUGAGAGAGGACACUCUGCUGUCAGUCAGUCCCAGUGCUCAGAAACUAAAGGUGUCUUCUGCUGUUCUAUGUAUAUCAAUAAUAUAACAACUGUCGCACAUAAGACACAUUUUCAGCAGCUGCUGUUAAAAAAAAAAAAAGCCUUAAAAAAGCUGUAACAACAAAGGUCCACAAUGAAGAACUGCUUGACAGCAAAGAAAACAGCUUUUUAUUUUAUUUAUUUUUUUAAUCCCCUGAAACCCCACAGUAGUGCCAAAUCUUAGUCCACUACCACAAACUGGUUUAAUAAAAAAACAAUUGUUUUUUUUUUUUUGUAUAUUUCUGUGAAUAGAUUUUUACUUUACUUUAUUUUAUUUUAUUUUUUUAUAUACAUAUA